rnacentral:rRNA from 1 species
AGAGUUUGAUCCUGGCUCAGAACGAACGCUGGCGGCAGGCCUAACACAUGCAAGUCGAGCGCCCCGCGAGGGGAGCGGCGGACGGGUGAGUAACGCGUGGGAACGUGCCCUCUGGUUCGGAAUAGCCCUGGGAAACUGGGGGUAAUACCGGAUGUGGUCGAGAGACGAAAGAUUUAUCGCCAGGGGAUCGGCCCGCGUUGGAUUAGGUAGUUGGUGGGGUAAUGGCCUACCAAGCCGACGAUCCAUAGCUGGUUUGAGAGGAUGAUCAGCCACACUGGGACUGAGACACGGCCCAGACACCUACGGGUGGCUGC